rnacentral:rRNA from 1 species
CCUACGGGCGGCAGCAGUGGGGAAUAUUGGACAAUGGGGGCAACCCUGAUCCAGCCAUGCCGCGUGUGUGAAGAAGGCCCUCGGGUUGUAAAGCACUUUCAGUGAGGAAGAACGCCUGGUGGUUAAUACCCAUCAGGAAAGACAUCACUCACAGAAGAAGCACCGGCUAACUCCGUGCCAGCAGCCGCGGUAAUACGGAGGGUGCGAGCGUUAAUCGGAAUUACUGGGCGUAAAGCGCGCGUAGGUGGCUUGAUAAGCCGGUUGUGAAAGCCCCGGGCUCAACCUGGGAACGGCAUCCGGAACUGUCAAGCUAGAGUGCAGGAGAGGAAGGUAGAAUUCCCGGUGUAGCGGUGAAAUGUGUAGAGAUCGGGAGGAAUACCAGUGGCGAAGGCGGCCUUCUGGACUGACACUGACACUGAGGUGCGAAAGCGUGGGUAGCAAACAGGAUUAGAUACCCUUGUAGUC